rnacentral:lncRNA from 1 species
CUUCGGACUAUUCUCUAUCCCCAGUUGUCAAUUAACUAAAAUAUUAAAUGAGGAGAAAACCUGAUGUCUGAGCUGAAUCCUAAUCAUGAAGAUGUUUUUCCACCAUUCCUGUCUGUGUUUUUCUACCAUUCCUGUCUGUGUUUUUCUACCAAAGUGUGCUCUUGAAGUUCUGCAUUUCCCAGGGUAACACUGAAAGCUAACUACACUGGAACACUCUCAUUUCUGCAAAGAAAAAUAUCAUAUCCCAGGAUGAAAAGGAGGAGGAAGAGGAAAGGCUAACUUAACAAGAAGCUCUUUGACAUUCUUGAAUUAGACACCCAACGUAGU